rnacentral:rRNA from 1 species
UACGAAGGGGGCUAGCGUUGUUCGGAAUCACUGGGCGUAAAGCGCACGUAGGCGGACUGUUAAGUCGGGGGUGAAAUCCUGGGGCUCAACCCCAGAACUGCCCUCGAUACUGGCGGUCUUGAGUGUGGAAGAGGUUGGUGGAACUCCGAGUGUAGAGGUGAAAUUCGUAGAUAUUCGGAAGAACACCAGUGGCGAAGGCGGCCAACUGGUCCACUACUGACGCUGAGGUGCGAAAGCGUGGGGAGCAAACAGG